GACGCACAAACAAAUCGACUUUGAAGUCCAUGUAGUCCAAACAACAAUGGCAUGCAGCCGAGAAAGCGUCGCGGUGAAUGAUUACUGCCGUUUUUGUCACAAAAAUCUGCGAAAACAUGGGGUACUCUCAUGUACAAGACUUAUUUUUGAAAAGGCUACGCAACAAAAGAGUCCUUCCGAACGAUUAGCGGUGUUAGGAAUAACUUUAAAUCGGAGCCAAACCAAGUCGGUGCGUAUGUGUAAAAGUUGCUUAAAUGUACUCACACGUUUGGAACGAGAUUUUCCAAUGUACAAACAAUGGCAAGAAGCCGAAAGUAACGAGCCAUCCACUGCCUCCUCAUCGUCGGAAACGUCAAAUGAAAAGAGGCAACGACUAACGCCAUCCAAAACGCCAAGAGACAACAAAAAGAUUCGCUUUGGCCCCCCUCCUCCUCCGGCAUCAUCUUCGAGGCGAAGCAUUACCAAGGUAGCUGAAGUUGAACACUUGCAUAAACAAUAUGUUGCUACUUCGUGCUGUGGUUUUAAGGUCAAAUCCAUCUCAUUCAAAACAGAAGAAAGAGCGGUGGUAAAAGAUUGAUGUGUUGCGGUAGCCAUCUUGAAUGUUUGUGUUUGGUUACGGGAGGUGCGCAGGUGUUUUAUGGGUAAUUCAGGCGCUGAAGAUGACGCAGCAUUAACUCCCGCCUCCCGUGCUAUGAUUGCUCGUACCAAACUUUCCCGGGAGGGAAACGCGAUUCAAUUCGCCCAAUGCCAAACUGAGGCUGAAUCCCAAACCGCCCCCUACACACUAUCCCUACACACUACCCCUCCGUUUGCGCGUUCCCGUGGACGGUCCUCCAUAUUAAGGGCCGUCCCAAACCGCAUAGUGUGGAGGGAGAGUGGACUGUUCAGCCCUUAAAUAGCGAGUCUGCAUCGAUGCUCACUCUGGACAACUUUUUCAGGAAGUGCAACGUCGAAAUGCCCCCCUCGCGUCAAAGUCCGCCCUAACGUGCUUUUUUCCCCACACUGACCGGCUCGGAUAGUCUCAACGAGUGUCCCACAACAUACUAGAGAUGAGAAGUGAACGAAAACCUCCACAUUACUUGGCGAUCGCUAUUUGUUGUGUGGUCUGUAUCCAAAUCUCGGCUAGAAAGCAAAUCUCGUUCCGAAAUCGCGCGAUAACUCGCGCCAAAACACCGGUGGGGGAAACGGCUGUUUGCCUCAGAUGAAGAGAGACGAAUAGAGCGAUUUUGUGUCGGAUUACAGAACAGAUAGUUUUUCUAAACCUGGUAAAACUAAUGGGUCGUCAGUGCGCAUUUCCGAGUUGUGGCAACAGAAUGGUGCGCUACACUUCGCGCAGCUUUCACAGACUACCGUACUCGGAGAAGGAAACGCUAAAGUUGUGGCUAAACGUUUUACAAAUGGACCCUGAAACUCCAGUUGAUGCACUUCGACGUGCCGACCACAGAAUCUGCAGCGACCAUUUUGACCGGGAUGAUUUCUCCAGAUCACAGAAGCGAGCAAAUCCCAAAAACGUUUUUUUGAGGAAAAGUGCAGUUCCUAGAUGGGAGACACCAGCUGCGGGAGGAGUGCAGCUGCAAGACAACUGGACAGAAAUGAACACACCUCAAGACCAGUUUGCAGGCACUCCGUUAAAUCUGUCAGAGAUGUGCGCCUCAACCACGGAGAAACCAACUCCACAGCACAUUGUAGAUGAGGAGGCCAUCCUGCAGCUGAUGAAGAACUGCCCCAAGUGCAACAGAACGUGCCGCUGCACCAAACACACUCGCGAUUCUUACCUCAUAGCCUACCAGAAAUGUUACUUCUGUGAUUAUCAGCGAAAGUGGGCCAGUCAGCCUGAAGCUAAAAAUAUGAACAUUCAUAAGCCACACAAGAGGAAACCUCCAAAGGACAAAGUGUCUGUAAACGCCAAGGCUCAGUCUUCACAGCUCAAUAAAAACAUUUCUGAAUCGUCAAGUCCCACGACCCAGUAGAGACCCGAGACUCGACCGUUUUCUUCUUGGAUAUGACUGACUUAAUGAAUCUGAACCUGGACAUAAACCCAGUUUCAGAUGUGCCUUACGAUGGAUCAUCAUUUUGUCGCCAUGCUUGAUGAUAACAAACAAUCCUUCAAAUUAAUGAUAAUAAUGUUUAAUUUUGUAAUAAAGAACACAGUGGCAGAAACCUUCGUUUUGCUCACCAGAAGUAAGAAAUGCUGUUUUAAAAUAUAGGUGCCAUUGUGGACAGGGAAACAUUGUGAAACCUUUAAACCCCAAAGCCUGCUGGCGGGUUUGAAAGGUAUAUAAAUCUGUCCUAGGCACGUUUUCACGGCAAUCACAGCAUUGUUUAGCCCUCACAGACAAGAAAAAACAAAGCACAAGGCAUGUUUCUACAGCAAUCACACUCAUAUAAUAGCAAAACACAGAGCCUCCAUUCCAAUAUCCUUCAUAUUUAGCCUCUUCACACGUUCUGCCUACAUGAGGCUACAACAGAGACCACCACACAAUGAUAAUGAUUGCUGAAUGCUGAUGCAGUGAUUGUGUCAAUAAAAAUGUGUCAUACUUUCUGCA